rnacentral:rRNA from 1 species
GACGAACGCUGGCGGCGUGCUUAACACAUGCAAGUCGAACGGAAAGGCCCUGCUUUUGUGGUGUGCUCGAGUGGCGAACGGGUGAGUAACACGUGAGUAACCUGCCCUUGACUUUGGGAUAACUUCAGGAAACUGGGGCUAAUACCGGAUAGGAGCUCCUGCUGCAUGGUGUGGGUUGGAAAGUUUCGGCGGUUGGGGAUGGGCUCGCGGCUUAUCAGCUUGUUGGUGGGGUAGUGGCUUACCAAGGCUUUGACGGGUAGCCGGCCUGAGAGGGUGACCGGCCACAUUGGGACUGAGAUACGGCCCAGACUCCUACGGGAGGCAGCAGUGGGGAAUAUUGCACAAUGGGCGGAAGCCUGAUGCAGCAACGCCGCGUGCGGGAUGACGGCCUUCGGGUUGUAAACCGCUUUCGCCUGUGACGAAGCGUGAGUGACGGUAAUGGGUAAAGAAGCACCGGCUAACUACGUG